rnacentral:rRNA from 1 species
UACGUAGGGUGCGAGCGUUAAUCGGAAUUACUGGGCGUAAAGUGUGCGCAGACGGCAGAGCAAGUCGAGUGUGAAAGCCCCGGGCUUAACUUGGGAAUUGCGCUCGAAACUACUUUGCUGGAGUGUGGCAGAGGAAGGUGGAAUUCCACGUGUAGCGGUGAAAUGCGUAGAGAUGUGGAGGAACACCAAUGGCGAAGGCAGCCUUCUGGGCCAACACUGACGCUCAUGCACGAAAGCGUGGGGAGCAAACAGG